GACAGUCAGGGACAGAUUGAA
rnacentral:miRNA from 1 species